rnacentral:lncRNA from 1 species
UGCAUAACUGUAUGUCGUAACCAAGGUUCUCCAGAAGAAGAGGAAAAAGCUAAACUAAACUAGUUUACAAAAUUAGCAAAUUACAUGAAAAUCUGGAACAGUCAUUUGGUUAUCUUGUCCUACACCUGCCGAUUCGUCAUUCUGAGAUAAGGAGUUGGCAUUAAAUCACAAGCACUGAAAAGCAGGCCGAAGAUUUCCUGAAGGAAAUCUCAGUCAUGUCCUCUGUUUUUUUUUUCUGUAAUGCGGUGACCUCAGCUGGAAAGAAUCCGCGACAAAAUGUCUUGUGCAUACUGGAGGAACAUCUUGAAACCUUUUUUGUACACCCGAAAAUCUUUCUCAUGUUGUGUCAGCAAGAUACAGGAUGGUGAGAUAGGACAUAAAUAAAAUCUUCAGGCACAAGCACCAGUCAAACUAUAGCCCAGAAUUUCUUCCUACAAAUCAACACCUGCUCCGGCCUGUUUUCCUCAUUUUCCAACGUGUGAGUGGUGACAUCCCAUAGGAACUUUGGUGCGAGAUCACUGAUUCUUGAGAGAGUGGUAUUCUCAUCUCUGAUAAUGAUAAAACCCUGCAUUUCCAAAAUUAUUGUAAUGCAGAAUGGAUUAUUGUCUAUGAAUUUAAUUUCCAUCACUAUAUUAUCAUAUUUGAUCUAUGGUAUUCGAGAAAGAGAAACAUAGAAGCUCAUGCGACACAAAAAUAUUUCUAAGUGGCGAGAAAGGUUGCUUGCAAUUUAUACUGCAUUAGGUACAAAUCAUUUCUUGCACAUGGCCAAUUGUUAUACAUUGAUAAACAGGCUGAUUAGACCACAUACUAUCGUAUUUCCCUGGACAAUCAUUUUUUGCACAUGACCAUUUAUGAUAUUUCAAUCAGUAAUUAAGUGGCCUUGCACAAAACCGUCAUAAGGCAUGUUCCACACCAUUUGGGGAAAUUUUAAAUCAAAUUGAAAAUUAGUCCUUAACAAAUCUAGUAAAGUGAUUAAAUAAAAACCUGACUGAUGGCAUGUUCAAACAUCGAAGGAGCAGUUUUCACUACAAAAAUGAUGUGCUCCCUCUGUUCACUAUUAUAAGACGUUUUGCAUAUUUCAAUAUGGACUACAUACGGAUUGAAACGAGUGAACAAACACACUAAAAUGCGCCUAUAUAUAUCCGAUUCAGAAAAAAGUUAGAACAUCUUAUAAUAGUGAACGGAGGGAGUACUUCUUUAAGAAAAUAGAUCCAAUGACAAGAGAAGACAUUUCCAUUCUAUUUGUCUGUGAAGAUACAACAAAUAGAUAUACCUAAAAUAUUAGAUAUUUAAAGCAACAAGACUCUGCUUAGGCAUCUAUUGUGAGAUGAACAUGAAUCACUCUUUCAAUGAACACGAAUCACUCUUUCAAAAAUUAAAACCUUUGGUAGAAGGAAGAAGAAAAAUACUGUUCUUACAAACAUUGGCAACCUAGAUAUGAUAUGCAAUGUGUAAAUACAUAUUUGAAUCAAGGCCACGUAUUUCGAGUCUAACUUUGACCGUCGAUUUGGCCAUUAAAACAUAUGUUGUAUACUUAUGUGUACUAAGAAGUACACCAUUGGAAAGUUUUUCAAAUAUGAAUCCAAUUAUAUACUUUUUGUGGCAUAUAACUCAUAUUUUGUUGGUCAAAACAACGGUCAAAGACAGAAACAAAAUACAAGGUAGUUGAGUAUAUAAAAAGGAGGGAGUAUAUAUCAAUAUUACCUGUGGACGAAUGAUGCGAUCUAUUUCUAGCAUGAUAUCUUCCAAUAAGCAACCUCCUACAUGACCUUGAUAAUGUGAAAAGAGGUGGAAAGCAUGUAGCAAAUCAUAUGACCUAGGAUAUGUUGAGAAUGGCUGACACCUGCAGCAUAAUGGUUUUUGUUUCGUCAUAACAAGGGAAAUAGAGGUUUAUAUGUUCAGAAGAAAUACUAACCAGUCAUGGUAGGAACCAAUUAACCCCCGGUCAUAGAUAGCAGGCAGUGUGUUGAUGGUUGUAUAGGGUACUAUAUUCAUAAUCCAGACAGGGUCAGUGCUUAGUGCCAUAGCAAAUCCACCAUAAUUAGCAUUCAUGUCCAUGAUAUUCCGUAUGCUAGUCUUUUCAACACCAAGAAAUGACCAGUACUUGCGAACCUGGUCCCGCCAGAACUGGUUAUUAUUCUCAAACUUCUCUGGAGUAACUCCUAGAAAACAUAUUCCAGAAAAUAGUUUAUACUUAUACAUAUGUGAUACAUGAUCGAGCCAAAGAUCAAACUAGAUUUACCUAAAAAAUUAUUAGUACAAUUUAAAUCACAGAUGGUACAUCUGCAAUUUACAGAAAUAUUUGUGUGCUUCAAGAAGUAACAUGUCAUAUUUGUGAAAUGCCACACCCAAACUGUUUUCCUAUCACUCAAAAUUAUUGUCUUGCUCAAUUAAAGCCUUAUGUGAGCAGUAAUAUCAACAUUUCAAUAGUAAGGUCAAGGAAUGUCAAAUAGGACUCUGCCACAAGAAUGACUUCCAGGGUUGGCAGGCCGUUAGGCAGAAAAGAUAACUCUUCUUGAGGCCCCCACCGGUGCCUCCGGACUUCCUAACGUCGUUGUCAACCGCCACAUCCCAACCUGGGAAAUUCUUAACCCGAUUCCCUUCUGGGGUCUAAGUGCUGGGGUUACCCUUCCCUUAGGAUUGGCUUGCUAACACUAAGGAAAGGUUGAUGUUCAGUGCUCCAAAAUUGGUCAGCUCUUUAAAAAACCUUAAUAUUUGAAGGGACAAAAAAAAGCUUUAAACAACAGGCCUAUGCUCAGAAAAACUCCAGUAAGCCACUGACAGUCAGCUAGUUGCAAGUACCACAGCCAAUAACACUACACAAUAAGCAUACUUGCUUUUUUCGAUUUUCAAACAUAUGUUAAACAUAGAGGAAUUAGUUUCACUUCAAAAUUUUGAGCUCCAGAAUGGAACAUGGCCCAAACAUGCAGAACCAAAACUAGCUCGUUCUUUCUCUUUUGUAGGCAAUGGAAAUGGACUGACCUAUUAUUUCCAAACUCCUCGAAUAAAAUAACAGGCGUUCAGGUCUGGAAGGCAGUUUCUGAAUUUUUGAUUGGUCCGUGUUCAACCGAAUACAGUUCAUUAAUGGAGCUUGCCAUGAAGAAGUGUCACUGGGGUCACAGAUAUUCAGGAUCCCCGUAUCAGCAUUUUUCUGUCGGCAAGAUUCAUCUUCAGGUUUGAUCCAUAUAGCAGUCUGAACAUGCUUAGCAAUAAGCUUCCAACACAUUGCUGAUGUGAUAUUAAUUAGCUUCUCCCAAAUAAUAGGGAAAUCUUUAUCUUUUCUAUAAGCUGGUGGGGCAGAAUAUACAAAAUAUCCAUUAGGUCGCAAAAGACGAUCGACCUCUUUGAGCAAUAUUCCAUCUGCAAAAAAGGAAAGAGCUACUGGUUGAACGGUGCGUUUCUAAAGUAGAAUUCAUAAACAAAGGAUCAUCAUCAGAAGGAACUUUUAGUAGAACAAAAAUAUCAAUGAUGAAAGAGGACACAUUUUCAUGCGAACCAACUUACUUUUAAGGGCUUGUUACAAUAAACUGAAAACAGAAUAUAACUAACUAGACCCCACAUAAAAACGCUGUCGCAUCUCAAAUUUUGAAAUGCUCCAUAGCUUAGCAUAAACACUAACAGUAUGUGAAUCUUACCAUUUUCAUGCCAGUCAACACGACAUCGGGAGCAAUGAACCAUUUCAAAUGAAUUUCCAGGAUAUGGCAAUUGCUUUGUGGCCAACACAGAGAUCAUUGCACCGAUCCCACGCUCUAAAGCAAACUGGAUUUGAUUCUCAUGGCCAUCUUUUGGCGCGAAUGACAUAGUAUGAAUAUCUAGGGGAAGAAGAUAAGCAGAGAAGCUGGCAACACCGCAUCCAACAUCCAAAACUUGAACAACUCCUGCGGAACGGAGAUCACCAGUACUAUUGGUUGUCAUAUUUCCUAGCCUGCAUUGAUCCAUUACAGAAAUUAUCUCACUGAAAGAUCUUUUGUACAGAGUGUUUAUGCUUCAAGUAGGAUGUUUGCUAAAGAGGAACAAUAACAGAUCAAAGUUGACAAUGCUCAGAAUUUUGCUACUAGGCAUCACACCCAAAUAUUUAUUUACAAGAUAUUACAAGGAUCAAACCAUUCUACAGCCUAAAUAUUAAACUACACACCAGGAAAUUAGGCAAGCAAUCCAAGGUUACCUCUCUAUGUAUUCUGAUGCACCACGCUUGAAGUGAGUGCCACCGCCAGGAAACCACCAAAGCUUACCAUUCUCAUGCACCCAAUUCUGUCCUCCUUUUACCUCAGAAAGGUGUGAAUGGUUCACAUUACUACGCCAUACAUAGUCCCGACUUGUUGGCCAUCUUAUCGGUAUCUUGUAGUCAUUUGGUGGGGGCACCAAACAGAACAAGCUCUCCUCUCGUGGAGGGCAUUUAGCUUCAAGAUCCUCGUGUCUAGAUCUAUCCAGGUUCCUUAAGCUUCUUAUAUAGGCGGCAUCAUGACAGGGAAUAUACUCGUUGUAUUCCAAAGGGCACACAUCAAGUCCAUAAUCAGGAACUGAGAUUGACGCCGUUCGAUAAGUAACACCAACUUUGUUUGUGAACUCUGAAGCAUCUGCAAGUGGAAAUCAAACAGGUUUAACCUCUUUGGCAUGGAAACGUUCGCAUGGUACACUAGGGAUUCUAGAUAGAUGCGCCACAUGGUACAUUUCUGGCGUAAGCUGCAACUCAGAGAAAUAGAAAAACAAAUCUAGAACCAGGACAAGCUGUCAAGACCAAACUGAUAGUAUAGCUUUGCGUAUGAACUGAGACAAACUAAAUCAAGGCCCAGCAGAUUUACAUCUUGUCGGAGACAAGCGCGGCAAUUUCGGAGAGUGAAUUUCUCAAGCAUUACACCUCUAGUGACAACGUAGGAGCAUCUGAGAUAACCUGAAUAGGAAGCUUAAAGCCGCGGCGCGUAUUGGACAGAACUGAACAAAUAAUUGCGAUCCAGCGGCGGAUCGACAGGGGAGGCGUGCUCUGUGGCCCGGGAGCGGAGAGUAGAUAGGUACCUUGGGGAUUGGAUGAACCGGGCGACCGGGAGACGGAAGGGGGCAAUAUGAGCGCGGGGGAGGCGGAGGACUGGAAGAGGGUGCCGGCGUAGAAGGAGGCGGCGACGAGGGCACCGCCCAGCAGGAGCAGCUCCGCCGACGCCGGCGAACACCACCGCCCCAUUAUGCUGCUCUCACUCUCACUUCCCCUUCCUCAGCGUCAAGACGAUCUCUGCUUGGAGGAGAUGGGGAGUUGGGGACUGAGUUCAUCCCCCCUUCCUCUAUUUCUUUUUCCAUUAAAAAGUACUUCCUCCCUUUUAAAAUACUUUGAACCUUAGGUUUCACUAGCAUAAAUCUUUGACUAUCACUUACUCUAUUGGUGUAUCUACUUUAUGUGGCAUAAAAUUAAUUUCAUCACCGUACUCCCUCUAUAUAAAUAAAUUAAUAUAAGACGUUUUAGUUUUAGUUUACAGAGGGAAUACCUUUUUUGUGUUUAUAGUCUUAUAUUACCGAAAAGGGCUUUCGCCCCGCUUUAUAUUAUAAAGCACAUGCCCAAGCCAACAUUCCACAUAGGUUCACACAUACGCAAACACACACACAAGAUCCAAAAGGGNNNNNNNNNNNNNNNNNNNNNNNNNNNNNNNNNNNNNNNNNNNNNNNNNNNNNNNNNNNNNNNNNNNNNNNNNNNNNNNNNNNNNNNNNNNNNNNNNNNNNNNNNNNNNNNNNNNNNNNNNNNNNNNNNNNNNNNNNNNNNNNNNNNNNNNNNNNNNNNNNNNNNNNNNNNNNNNNNNNNNNNNNNNNNNNNNNNNNNNNNNNNNNNNNNNNNNNNNNNNNNNNNNNNNNNNNNNNNNNNNNNNNNNNNNNNNNNNNNNNNNNNNNNNNNNNNNNNNNNNNNNNNNNNNGAGGAGGGUGUUGAUGACGUCCCGAUCCUGAGGGCGGCUAAGCGGCCGCCAAAGCUGCAUGUACCCACACAUUUUAAAAAUGGCGUCAGUAGCACGUCUUAGAGUGACCUUUUGGAUGACAAGCUUAUUGCGGACGGUCCACGGCGUCCAGGCGAGGACCCCAACGCAGAGCCAACGUAUAUGUCGGUAGCGAGGGGGGGAGGCAUGGAUCUCCGCAAGAAGGUCAGGGAAAUUGGAGUUGCACCAUUGUCCACCAACCGUCUCGCGGAAGUUGGACCAAAGAAACUGGGCCGUGGGGCAUGCGAAGAAGAUGUGGUUAGCAUCCUCCACCGUGUCGCACAUAGGGCAAAGCCCGUCUCUGGGUCCGUUACGCUUGAGGACUUAGACUCCGGAGGGGAGGCGGCCACGGAUCCAUUGCCAAAGGAAGAUCCUAAUCUUCAGUGGCAAGCGAAUAUCCCAGAUCAAACUGAAGGGCUCGGGGCGGGCGAAGGCGCGAUGGCCGCGUACAGGGACCUAGUCGAGAAGCGCCCGGAAGACUCUAGGCGCCACGAGAUGGCGUCCGGGGCGUCGGUGACGCGCAUCGGGAGAAGGGCGAUGUCCUGGAGGAGGGCAUCCCAGGCGGCUACUUCGGGAAGGCCAAAAGGGCGACGAAACGUGAGGCGCCCUAAGCCAAUAAGGGCCAUCUCAACAGAGAUCCGAGGGUCAACUGCAAUGGCGAAGAGUUCGGGAAAGCGGGCGGCCAGAGGGGUGUCGCCGAUCCACCGAUCAAACCAGAACAGGGUCGCGGACCCAGUACCAACCGAGAUGGACGUGCCAAUGCGAAGCACAGGAAGCAGUUGAACGAUGGCCUGCCAAAACUGUGAUCCGCCCGAACGCUGACAGAAAGCCAGAGGCUGUCCACGAAGGUAUUUGUUCCAGAUAAUGGUGAGCCACAGCCCUCCGUCCCCAUUAGCAAUACGCCAUAGCCACCGGGUCAGGAGGGCGAUGUUCAUGCGGCAGGAGGAAAGAAUCCCAAGACCCCCCUGGUCCUUGGGUUUACAAAUGUCCGGCCAACUAACCAUAUGGUACUUCUGUUUGUCAUCGUCGCCAGCCAAUAGAACCUGGAUUGGUACUUGGCAAUUUUCGUGUGCAGCGUUUCAUGGAGGCUAUAAAAGCUCAUGAGGAACCAAAGAAGGCUAGCGAGUGAGGAGUUGAUGAGAAUCACACGCGCAGCCUUCGAUAGCCAACACCCUUUCCAAGGUUCGAUGCGGUGCUGCAUACGGGUCAUCGUAGGGCAGAGGUCCGCCAAGGUGAGGCACGAGUCACUAACGGGGAUCCCCAGGUAGGUCGUGGGGAAAGAACCCAGCCGACGGUUAAGACGGUCAGCAAUAGCCUGAGCUUCCACCGGAGGGUAGCCUAGAACCAUCACUUCGCUCUUAUCGAAGUUGAUCGUUAGGCCCGACAUCUGCUGGAAGCACAGGAGGAGGAACUUCAGGUUAGCCACGUCCUGAGUAGAACCUUCCACCAUUAUUAUGGUGUCAUCUGCGUAUUGAAGGAGGGAGACCCCUCCCCCUCCGACUAGGUGGGGGACAAUGCCACGGAUAUGGCUGGCACCCUUGGCCUUAUCCAGGAUGGCGGCCAGAGCAUCCACCACCAUGUUGAACAGGAAAGGCGAGAGCGGGUCACCCUGACGAACCCCACAAAGAGUGGGGAAGUAUGGUCCAAUCUCGCCGUUUAUGUUAACCGCAGUCCGCCCACAGGAGACUAAUUGCAUCACGCGAGUCACCCAGUGGUCGUCAAAGCCCUUACGCAGCAGCACUUCCCGAAGGAAAGGCCAGUGGACAGUAUCAUAGGCUUUAUGAAAAUCUAGCUUCAGGAAGACAGCGCGAUGAUGUUUCACCCGGACUUCGUGAAGGACUUCAUGGAAGACCAACACGCCAUCUAGAAUAAAUCGGCCUUGGAUGAAGGCCGAUUGGUUCGGGUGAGUGAUCGAGUUAGCAAGCAGGGUCACCCUAUUGGCGUACCCUUUGACCAGGAUCCGAAAUAUCACGUUAAUCACAGUGAUGGGACGGAACUGGCGAAUAUCAGAGGUGCCCGGAACCUUUGGGAUGAGGGUAAUGAUCCCAUAGUUGAGGCGUCCAAGGUCCAUAGAGCCCGAAUAGAACUCCUCGAAUAAGGCCAUGACCUCCAGUUUGACUGUUUGCCAGAACGUUUUAAAGAACGUAACAGGCAGUCCAUCCAGACCCGGGGCCGAGGAGGGGUUCAUAUCUUUAAUGGCCGCAAGGACCUCGUCUUCGGCGAAGGGGGCAACAAGGGCCGCGUUGGCCUCGUCGGAAACCAACUGCACCCCCGUCCAGGUGUCGGGGGCGAGACUAGCCCCACCCCAAGGGGUGGGGGUAAAGAGGGCUUUGUAGAAGCCGUCUACAUGAGCCCGAAUGGCCGCGGGGCGGACAAGGGGGACGUCAUCCACCCAUAAGUAGUGGAUGGAGUUUCUUCGGCGUCGGCCAUUCGAAACCGCCUGGAAAUAGGCAGUGUUCGCAUCGCCACGGAGCACCCAUCGCUGGGUACCACACACCCUCCAGUAUGCCUCCUCAUCGGUGUAGAUGGAGGAUAGCCGAUCCUCAAGAUCAUAUCUCAGCAUCCACUCAUCCGGAGAAAGCCCAGAGGAAUCGGCCCGAGCGUCCAGAGCUUGGAUAGCCAGCAGGAGAGAUCUUUUACGCUCGUGGAGGUCACAGCCAAGAUUGGCACCCCAGCCCUUCAUGAAUUGGCGGGCAAGCUUGGCGCGGAAGUGCCAAGAGUCGAUGGUGGACAUGGAGCGAUGGGGAGAGGCGUGGGCAAGUGUCCAACAAGCCGAGACCGCAUCCCGAAAGCUGGCUUGAUUGAGCCAAAAGGACUCAAACCGAAACCGAGACGGGCAGGGGGGUGCUCGUCCGCGGAGGAUAGGAGGAGAGGGACGUGGUCCGACCCAAUGCGGGUAAUCGCCCGUAGCGAGGUCAGGGGGCACCUCAAUUCCCAUUCUGGGGAAACUAGGACACGAUCUAGCACGGAUUGUGUCGGGUCGGCCUGGCGGUUAGUCCAGGUAAAUCUCGCCCCCGUUCUCUCGAUCUCUCGGAGGCCGAGCUCCGCGAUCCAGUCAUUGAACAACUGCAUCCGGGGGAGGUUAAUCCUAUCAAUAUUCUUCUCAUCCGGAGAACGGAUGAGGUUAAAAUCUCUGCCCACAACUACUGGGAGGAGGAAGGCGGAGAUCUUUUGGUGGAGCUCCGCAAGGAAGGUCGGGGAACGGCGGUGAUCCGCCGGACCAUAGACAAUCACGACCUCCCAUUUGAAGUUCAGGGCCCGCUCAAAGAUCUCCAUACUAACGAAGAAUUCGCCCCGGUCCAUGCUGCCCACCUUGAAGGUGGCAUCCUUAACCCCCAAGAGGAUGCCACCGGAGUGGCCCGUGGUCCCACUAGAAGGGAGCCAAUGCCAGGCGAAAAGGUGGGAGCUGAGGCAAUCAAGCUCAUGGAGGAAGAACUCAGUACGCAUGGUUUCCUGGAUCGCAAUGAUGUCAAUGUGUUCGUCGCGUACGAACUCGACGAGUUGGCGGCGGCGGCCAUCAUGGCUGAAGCCGCGGAUGUUCCAAAAAAGGGACCGCAUCUAAACCCCCAUCGGGGGGCUGCUUGACCCCAGAACACGAGAAGCGCUUUGGGCGCGGAGAGCAGCAGUGCGGGACCGAGUGCGCCCAUGAAUAGCCCCGUCGACCACCGGAGGGGGCUGACCAGCGAUACGUGCAGUCUGCUCCUCAGGGGUCCUACUUAGGCGAGCCCGAGUCUCAGCCAACUUGCCAUCAAGGAUCUCGCGAGCCCUAAUGGCCGCGAUCUGCUCUAAGGGGGGACCCACUUCCCCCCUGAAAACGAUGGCCGAGUCAGUGGCCACCUUGGCUAGGUGUCGAAGAGGAACGACCUCAAGCACGGAAAGGGAACAAGAAGAACUGGGAAGGGCGGGAUCCACACCUGACUCGAGGUUCCGGGAAGCCGCCCGGAUCUCAGCCCGCUUAGCGAUGGACGGGACCGAGGCAUCGGCCAGGCGAGCCGCAUCAAGGCGGGCGCUGCGGCGAGACACAGUCACCGACGUCGAGGAGGAGUGGGGCCGCCUGGUGUAUGCCACCGUCUGAGGAGGGACCGCGGAGACUGGCGAGGUGACGACCACGGCCAUCGCCGAAGCCAGGGAGGCCGGGGAGGUGGGGUGGGCGUCGGGGGCCACCAGCGGGGGGAGCGGGGCAACAAGCUACAGGGUGUCGCCCAACAUUUCCCUCGCGGGCGGGGGCACUGGAGAGGGCUCGCCGAGGGGUGGUGUACCGCCGUCACCACCCGUGAGGACCAGGGGGGUCAGAGUCGGGGGGGGACGGUGGUUCCGGUCCUAACGGAGAGGGGCGGUGAGCGGAGUCUGCGGACGGAGAGCGGGGCGAAGAGGGGGGCACGACGAGCAGACCCACACUCGAGAUGUCACUGGCCAACUCCGAGGCAGGGGGAGAGGGCGCCAUGGGGGAGCGGCCAGCUGAAGGGCCACCGCGAGGUCCGCGGCGGAGACCCGGGUGUGGCCCUGUCCAGAGUCGCCGUGGCCCGAGGGGGGGUUAACGGGCUCACGAGACGGAGAGCGGGAACGCUCAGAGAUGUUGUCGUCCUCCUCGUUGUCGUUGAAGCGGGAGUGGCGGGGGCGACGGUGAUGGGAGCCAUCGGCACCCGCGGGCCCGCCCCCUGGAGGCUGUCGGCGGAGAGGCGGGGGCGGCCGAUAUGGUUCGGCGGCUCGGGGCAGAUGGUGAGGUCGUAACCGUCGUCGUUGAAGAAGACCCGAAACAUGGUGUGGAGCUUGGAGGCGUCGAGGCAUUUCACCUUGACUCGGACCUCCUCCUCCUUGCACAAAGAGAGCUCGUCGACCACCACCACCUUGCCCAGGAUCUUGGACAUACUGCGAAUGACUCGCUCAGACCGGGCCACGUCAGGGAGGUCGGCGAUGAGGAGCCAAGCAGUGUCCAGGACCGCCACGGCCUUGGGAUCCCACCUCGGCUCGGAGAUGUUCACCACAAUCCCGUUGAGGGCCAAGGUGAUGUUGACGCUGUGGGUGCAGAAGCCCAUGCUCAUGGCGUCGGGGAAGAUCACCGAGAAGGCGUUGGGCGCGGUGGAGGUCACCUGCCAAUCCCACUUGCAUCGGCAGAGGUGGUUGAGCUCGGCCUCGAUCAGAGCCGGAGUGGCGACGCCCUCCCCCACGACCGUCACAAGGGCCAGGAGCGAGGGGGAGGGAGGCGGAAGCUCCGGCACCUCGAUGUGGAAGAAGCCCAUGUCCUCGAUGUUGUGACCGUACAUCAUGAUCUCCUCCGUGAUCGGGCGCUCCGGACAGAGAACCGCGGGGUGCUCGGCCUCCUUGCAGAGGUAGCAGGUCAGUGGGUUGGGGCAAGCCACCUGGAAGUAGCCUGGCAAGCUGCGGUUGAAGCACGGCGGACCCUCGGAGGCGGCGACGACCCCCGAGGCCAGAGUCGCCACGGCGACGGAGGAGGCGGCAGGAGGGGGGCGAGGCGGCCCCUUCUUCUUCUUCUUCUUCUUAGCACCCGGGUGCCCACGGUUCCCAUUGCCUCCGUUGGAGGGCGGGAAAGCGGCUUGGGCGCGCGGGGGCUGGUACCGCCGGUUUUCACGGGCGGUGGUCUCGAAAGCGGGAGGAGCUUGACGCGGGGGAGAGGACCGGCGGUAGCCACGGCCAUCGCGGACCGGCGAGCGCCGGGUCGGAGACCGGCCUCGGGCGGGGGAGCGCUGGCCAGGCGAGUCGCCCCGGUCCUGAGAGUCCCCCCGAGGAGGAUCCCGGCGGGCAGGCGAGUGGGAGCGGUCACCCCGCGGCGAGGAGCGGCGAGAUUGGCGGGGAGGGGAGCGACGGGAGUCGCGGGAGUCGCGCACAGGCGAACGGCGAGCCGGGCGGGAGGUGAGCUGACUUCGGAGGUCAGCCUCCCGCCGGAGGCCGUUGGGGGAUGAGCGCGGAGGGUCGCGGCGGUCAUCCGCGCGUCGCUUCGGGCGGGAUUCGGCAUCACCCCACUCCCGGGGCAUGGCCGGCGGAGGAGGGGGUGGCGAGGAGGCGCGAUGGCCGGAGGGGACGAGGAAGGCGGCUGGCGAAGCGGCAGGGUGGGGAGCGAGGGGCGGGGCACGAGAGGCACGAGGAAACCCUACAGGAGGCCAUAUCGCGCGCCGGAACGGGCCAGGCCGCACCAGGGGGCGCAGCUGGGCCGCACUAUGCGCGGCGGGACUGGGCGGCCGGCCCACGCAGUGGAUGGCGGCCCGCAUCCCACCUGGGGGCCCAGCGGCCGACAGCCCGAGGGGAGGCCCAACAGGAUGGGCCCCAGGCCGGCCCAGAAGCAGAGCGGCCCGAAACGACCGGCCUGGGGCAACCAACCGGGGCACGAGGGUUUCCCCAGGCGCCGCCGCGGAGGUCACCGCCGGGCCGGGAGGGGGCGNNNNNNNNNNNNNNNNNNNNNNNNNNNNNNNNNNNNNNNNNNNNNNNNNNNNNNNNNNNNNNNNNNNNNNNNNNNNNNNNNNNNNNNNNNNNNNNNNNNNNNNNNNNNNNNNNNNNNNNNNNNNNNNNNNNNNNNNNNNNNNNNNNNNNNNNNNNNNNNNNNNNNNNNNNNNNNNNNNNNNNNNNNNNNNNNNNNNNNNNNNNNNNNNNNNNNNNNNNNNNNNNNNNNNNNNNNNNNNNNNNNNNNNNNNNNNNNNNNNNNNNNNNNNNNNNNNNNNNNNNNNNNNNNNNNNNNNNNNNNNNNNNNNNNNNNNNNNNNNNNNNNNNNNNNNNNNNNNNNNNNNNNNNNNNNNNNNNNNNNNNNNNNNNNNNNNNNNNNNNNNNNNNNNNNNNNNNNNNNNNNNNNNNNNNNNNNNNNNNNNNNNNNNNNNNNNNNNNNNNNNNNNNNNNNNNNNNNNNNNNNNNNNNNNNNNNNNNNNNNNNNNNNNNNNNNNNNNNNNNNNNNNNNNNNNNNNNNNNNNNNNNNNNNNNNNNNNNNNNNNNNNNNNNNNNNNNNNNNNNNNNNNNNNNNNNNNNNNNNNNNNNNNNNNNNNNNNNNNNNNNNNNNNNNNNNNNNNNNNNNNNNNNNNNNNNNNNNNNNNNNNNNNNNNNNNNNNNNNNNNNNNNNNNNNNNNNNNNNNNNNNNNNNNNNNNNNNNNNNNNNNNNNNNNNNNNNNNNNNNNNNNNNNNNNNNNNNNNNNNNNNNNNNNNNNNNNNNNNNACAUGCAGAGGAGCAGCCAGAGGCGACGACGGGGGGUCGGGCGAGGGAGGAGCCGGCGGGCCGGCCGCGGGCGAGGCCAGGGGCGAGGGCGGUAGCGGCGGCGGCGCCGCCGAGGCGACGGGGGCGUCGCCAGAGCCAGCGCACGCGAGAGCCAUUCUCCCAGCUAGGACACGUCUAGAUUAAGUAUAGUCUUAUAUUCCAAAUCAAUCUCCCCUUCGGCUCGAGCGCUGUGAUUGUUGUCCCUCUUUUGUUGUGUAGUAAGAUCUUUUUUGUUCGGCUUUGGUGUCGUGGCGACAUGCUCCAACGGUGAUGGUGGUGUUGCUUCGAAGUCCUCAACUCAACUUUCAAUCUCUGUGUCACUUGAUCAGGCGUUGUCGAGGAGUUUAGAUGUUCUUCUAGCCAUGUUCUUUGUCGACGUGGGUCCAUGGGUAUUAUCCAUGACAUCCUCGUCACCUUCAAUAGCUCCUUCUUUCAAGCCUUUACGAGUAAGGUCAUCACCCUUGACAGGAGCUACUUAUCGACUGUCUACCUAAAUCAAGGUGGUGCCCUCACAAUAUAAUGCGCGAUUGCCAAUCUCAUAUACACAUGACUCAACAAAGAUUUGAUCUUCUAUUGGUUUUUGCAAGUAUUUCAAUGGUCGAAUUUCUUGAUGUUGUCUAUCGAGAACUAUGGGCGUGUUUAGUUCAAGAACGAAGUGAAAUGUAAUGUCAUGGUUCCAUUCCACCGGAAUGGGUCGGUUCCGUCCUUAUGUUUGGUAUGAGCAGUUCAGAGGAAUGGAAUGAUUACAUUUUGGUGUUUGGUUUCUGGGAUGGAACGGAAUGGAUUUGUUCAUCUCAACACUCAAGUAUAUUGAUUUUGGCGUCAAAUACAGACAAGACACAUUUAAUAAAAAUACAAGUAUCUACAUGUAAAAAAAUCUGCCAAAAUACAAGUCAUCCAUUUACUUGUGAAAAAUUGUCAAAAUAAAAGUCAUCCAUCUACAUGUCAAAAGAUGUGUCAAAAACUCAAAAUACAAAUCAAUUACUCAAAUUGAGCUUGCCGUGAUUAGGAAAGCUACCCAGAUGAUGUGAUUAGGAAAAUACAAGGCAUUCCCAAAUCAAGUUAGCGGUGAUAGCUACGAAUGAAUCAAGUCAUGUCGUCGCCACUUGCCGCUGCCUGCCCAGCUGUGGCACCUAGUAGAGGGACGGGCACUGCAGCCCGAGGUUGCAGUCGCUGGCCAGCACCAUGAAUUCGCCAGCGAGGGAUAUGGCUUGCGAGAUGCAGCCGCCCGUUGUGUUCCAGCUUCAGCUCACGGAGGUCCACAGGGGCCCGGCGUGGAGCAUGACCAACGACGAUAAGUUAGGAUGCGGCUUUGACGGAAUUUUUUAGGCAUAGGUUCGUGGUUGUAGUCUCAUAUUUGUUUAUGGUUGUUUAUGUAUGUGGUUCAGUUGCCCCAUUAUUUGACUCGAUGAUGUGGUUACAAGAGAAGUUCAGACGGCUGGUGGUGAUCCGGAGUGAGGAUGGCGAGCGACGUUCGUUGGCGAGUCCGCUACGCGGCCAACUUUGCCACGGCGAGGUAGGUCCGAUUCGAUGACGGCGAACUGUGGCUCAGAUGUGGGGCUCUCAGGAUCGUCCUGCUCGACGCCACGGGCUACACGAUUGAUGCGCGCUUCCUCAAGGAAGGUGAGUUCAUCGACAUUGGCGGCAUCGUUCCUUUUCCCGUGCCAUUUCGCGAGGGUUUUGGACAGAAUUCCGGCGAUCUCCGCGUUUUCCGGCGAGGGUACGUCGACUCACGCUGCGGGACCGUCACGUUCGGGGGCUAGGGCCACCGCGGUACACAGGCACGAGCGCGGGCGCACGUCCCUAGGUGCGCGUCGCCACCCACCUCCCGUGACAGAAGGACCCGGGGUCCUCGGGCGCGCGCCGAGCCGCCAUGGCCCUGAUGCGCGACACGUGGGGGAGGGCGCAUCCGACCGCCAUGAGCGCAGCGGACCUAGGGUUUCCGGGGGCGCCGCGCAUAUAAAGCCCGCAUCGGCGCCCCAUCUCCCAUUUUGGAUCUGGACGAGGGUUUCGCUCACUUUUGGAGCGCUCCGCCUCCUGUUAGAUCUAGGGUUCGUCAGUCCUUCGCCUGGUGGGAGGGCAAGAUUCGUGGUGAUAGCCGAUCAUUCGCUCAAGUAGUUGCCUCUCCCCGUCCCACAAAUCCACUUGAUCUGCCUAGAGCUGCUGAGAUGAGAGGAGAGGGUUUCGGUGCGGGUCGCCAUGGCAGCGAGGCUGGUCGUUUCGACCGCGGUCGUGGUCGUGGAUUCGACCAUGUGUGGAAGCGCAAGCCGGAGGUGGUGCAUUCGUCCUCAACCAGAGCAUCUGGAUCUGAAGGAUCUGGAUUCGACAAGUGGGAUGAGGCCGCCGGCGAGCGCCCUGCCAUUGUUCGCCAGUCCCGCUGGGAGGGCAACACGGAGGCAGGGCAGAUGCAUGUCGAGGUGGAGGCGGCGGGGAAGCUGACGGCCCCUUCCUCGCAUGGGAGGCAGGGAGUCCUGGGCAGCGACGACAUGGAUCCGCGCGUCUCCACCAAGAAAAAGGCCGCGGCGGGGGAUCGAGAUCUUCACACUUCCUCUGGUACUCACGUUCCCUCUUUCGAUGUCUGUCAGAUCUGCAAUACCCCUGGCCACUUCACUGCUAGAUGCCCGCAAGCUCUUUGUGAUCGAUGCAAGAAGAGGGGUCACCUGUAUGUUGUUUGCAAUGAAUUCUUUCCAUGGGAAUACACCCCUGCGAUGUGUGCUUUUCAAUCCAAAGGGCAAGGUUUCUUUUACAUCCCUGACUUUGGUGUUGAUAGGCAACCUAGAGAGCGCAUUUUCAAUACCGUUGUCACUAUCACUGAAGGGUCCGCUCCUACCAAAGAUAUCGAACAUGAGCUAAGUGUGUACGUGGGUCAGGGGUGGAGAUGUUCGGCUAGAUUCUUUGCUCCACAAAAAUUUGUUAUGAGAAUGCCAAAUCCUAGAGAGGUUGAUAGAGCUCUUUUUGUUGAACAUGUUAGACUCAAACAAUGUGGAGUUAGUGUGAAAUUUUCUCCCUGGUCUGAGGAUAUUGAUUCUGAGAGGCUUAUGGAAGUUGCAUGGGUCAGGAUCGGUAAGAUUCCACCUAACAAAAAAUCUGAUAAAGUUGUAGGUUAUGUGAGGGGCUUGGUUGGGAUCACCCUGGAAGUAGAUAUGUCGACCAUUAAUCGUCCUUCCUCUGUCAGAGCAAAAAUUGGAUGCAGAUCUGUGUCCCAACUGCCUGGCACUGCUGAAGGUGUACUUGGGGGGCGUUUCUAUAAAUUCACUUAUGAAGUUGAAGAGAUCCUUGUUAAAAAUCCUGUUGAUGAAGAGCUUGUGGAACCUGUUGCUGAUGAUAAGAACAAUCCUGAGUACACUCCUAAGAGGAAGCGUACGCAUCACGAGAAAAAAAAGAGCCCGCCUGAUAAGUAUAAGUCUGGCAAAAAUGAUUACUCUUAUCGUGGGGGCAAGGCCUGUCGCCUGCUGCCUAUUGAUAAUAAAGAAAUUGAGGAGGAAGCACCUUCUGAUAGUGGGGCAGACACUUCCCUGCUCAUUGAAACUAUGCAGAAGGAGAUUGAUGAUUGCAUCAGAGAGGAGAAGCUGGACUCCUCCAAGUGGAUCGUGCCCAUUGAUACCACUAAUGCUGUGAAUGAUUCACAAGAUGUUCAGGCGAAUAUCGAUGCUUGUAAAGUUGAUAUCUUAAAUCCUGUGGCCACUACUAUUAAUGUUGAUCAGGUUGUGGAGGUGGUGGGUGAAACACAUCCAGGCAUGAAAAUCUCAAGUGACUAUGUGGUACAAAUCCCAUCCCCGGACCACUCUGAGGAGUUUGUCCUCACGCCUCCUCUUGCAACUGAAGCUACACUCAGGUUCAGCAAGCGUAACGCAUCCAGAAUGCAGGACAAGAUGGAAGAAUGGGCGGUGAAGCUGGCCUGCAAAAAAGACCCUGAAGGUACUUCAAAACCUGCUUGUAAAAAUUCUUUUGCUGUCUUAUCCGAUUAUGAGCUAGUGAGUAGAGCUAGUAGAAUGGGGGUGGAUAUACCUGAUGAUUCGUUCACUUCUGUGGAUAUUAUCAGAGAGCUAGAGACUGUGAGAGGGGAGUUAGUUAACAAGAGCAAGAUUGAUUCCAUUGCUCAGGGAAUGGAUGAAGAUAUUGUGAUAGUUGAUGGGUUGGGUAGAAGUAAUCCUGUGGAUCUAGAAUGGCUUGAUCAAGAAGAGCAUGUUCUAGAAAAGAUCUCUUCUAGUAAAUCUAAGAAAAAUAAUAAAAGAAAAUUAGGUAUUAAAACUUCUAGACCUGUGACUAGAAGUCAAAAAAGCCAUGCUCUAGAGAAAGAUAUGAGCUGUAACCCUACAAUGCCUCCUGGUAGCGUUACUCGGUCCAAUUUUCAUAAGAAACGUUCCAAAUGAGAGGCCUCAUUUGGAACUGUCGAGGGGUAGGAAAGAAAGGGAUGGCCACCUGCCUCUCGGACGUGAUUAGUGACCAUUCCCUUGAUUUCCUGGGACUGCAAGAGACUAUGAAGAAGAAUUUCUCCCCUAAGUGCUUGAGGAGAAUUGACCCUUUUGGAUCCUUCCAGUGGAACUGGAUCCAUUCUGUUGGGAAAUCUGGCGGCAUCUUAUGUGGUGUGAGGAGUGAUAAACUAGAAAUUAUUUCCUGUGUUAAGGGGAAACAUAUGCUACACUUGGUGUUGCUGGACAGACCCAGUAAGCUGAAGUGGGUUUAAUAGUAGUUUAUGGACCAGCCCAUGAAGAAUUGAAAGGAGACUUUCUGGUUGAAUUAGCUUCUACCUGUAUUGGGAUGCGUGUACCCUACAUUGUUGGGGGCGAUUUUAAUAUCCUGAGACACUCUGGUGAGAAGAACAAGAAGCUUAAUAACCACAAGUCUUCGGACCUAUUUAAUUCUAUCAUCAAUACCUUAGCUCUUCGUGAGAUCCACAUUAACGAGGGUAAAUAUACCUGGACAAACCAACAGGCCCAUCCCACUUUGGAAAAACUAGAUCGUAUCCUCAUGUCUAAAGAAUGGGAAGACAUGUUUCCGCUUGCAUCUGUUCGGAAACUAGUUCGUGAGAUAUCUGAUCACAACCCUUUGCUUAUUUCAACGGGAGAGGAGGGGAGAGAUGCCCCCAAGCCAAGGGAGUUUUGCUUUGAUCUUUCCUGGGUUAAAGACGAUAGUUUUUUGCCGCUAGUCAGACAGAUCUGGACUAGAAAAGUUAAAUCUUCUGACCCCAUAGACAUCCUGAAUAUCAAACUGAAAAGAUUCAAAACCUUUUUCAAAGGGUGGGGUUCAGAUAGAUAUGGUCAUAAUAAGAAGAGGAAGGAGGACCUUAGAAUGGAGCUAUCCAUGCUCGAAGAGCUCAAAGAAGAUGGACCACUUCCUCCUGAGCUAUAUAGUAGGAAGAUGGAUGCCAACUUUGAGUUACACGAGUUGCUUGUCAAUGAAGAGAUCUUCUGGCUGCAACAAUCUCAUGAGCGUUGGCUCCUGAAAGGGGAUUUGAAUACAGACUACUAUCAUAAGAUUGCCAAUGGUCGCAAACGUAAAAACACCAUCCAUUCUCUUAAGAUGGGUGAUGAUGUUACCAUAGAGGGUACUGAUGAUUUGAUUGCCCAUGCCACUGGUUUUUACAGAGACCUUUUUGGCCCAGCUCCUGGUAACUUGUUUCAUCUUAAUCCUAAGACAUGGACUGAUGAUGACAAGCUUUCUGUAGAGGAUAAUAGGGAUCUCUGUCGAGAAUUUACAGAACAAGAAGUUAAGGAUGCCCUGUUUGACAUGGCUCCAAACAGGGCCCCCGGGCCUAAUAAUAUCCCUGUUGAACUUUGUCAGGUCUGUUGGGAUAUAGUUAAGGAAGAUAUUAUGGCCCUGUUUGACCAUUUUCAUCAAGGUAAGCUUGAUGUGAAACGUCUUAACUACAGGAUUAUUACCCUCCUGCCUAAAGUGUCCAGUGCUGAGAGAAUUCAACAAUUUAGGCCAAUUUGUUUGCUCCAUUGCCCAUAUAAGCUCAUAACUAAAGUGCUCGACCGUAGGGUUGCAGUUUACGCUGAUAAGCUAAUCAGCCUUACCCAAAAUGCUUUUGUGAAAGGGAGGAAUAUCAUGGAUGGAGUGCUUUCACUCCAUGAGAUCCUCAACUAUACACAUGUCAAGAAGAAAGUGGGGAUUGUCCUUAAGCUUGACUUUGAAAAAGCCUAUGAUAAAGUAAACUGGGAUUUCCUCCUUGAAUGCCAUAAAAUGCGUGGUUUCAAUGAAACCUGGUGUGGAUGGAUUAAACAAAUCCUUUACGAGGGGACAAUUAGCAUCAAGUUGAAUAACUGUACGGGCCCGUACUUUCAGAGCGCCAAAGGGGUUCGCCAAGGGGACCCCCACUCUCCUUUUUUGUUCAACUUAGCGGUGGAAUGCCUCACCAAGAUGAUCAAAAACGCCCAGAAAAAUAAGUUGAUUGUAGGUUUAGCUUCUGACCUCAUUCCUGAGGGGGUGGCUAUUCUGCAAUACGCAGAUGAUACCAUUAUUUGUUUGGAGGAUGAUAUUGAUAAGGCAGUUAACCUGAAGUUGCUACUGUAUUUGUUCGAGAUGAUGUCUGGGUUAAAAGUCAACUUCCAGAAAAGUGAAAUUCUCACUGUGUGUGUGGGGGGGGGGGUGAGAACACUGUUAAGAGAUAUGCGGAGUUAUUCAGCUGCGAGAUAGGCAGCUUCCCCAUCAGAUACUUGGGCAUGCCUGUGAGUUAUACAAACCUGAAAAACUCUGAUUGGGAGUUCAUUGUGGGCAAGUACUUGAGGAGAUUUGAAGCCUGGAUAGGCAAUGCAGCCUCGAUGGGGGGGAGACAUACUCUACUAGAUUCUGUAGUUACACAAAUUUCUCUAUAUCAUAUGUCGAUGUGGCUUAUGAAUAAAACUUUUAUUGAAAGAUUGGAUAAACAUAGAAGAAGAUUCUUCUGGCAAGGAUGUAAUAAUAAGAAGAGAUACCACCUUGUAAGGUGGAGUAGAAUUUGUAGAUCCAAGAAAAAAGGUGGUCUGGGUAUCAAGGACCUACGGAAACAAAAUAUUAGCUUGAUGGUCAAGUGGUGGUGGAAACUUGAAACACAAAAAGGCCUAUGGCAGGAUAUUGUCCGUGCCAGAUACCUUCGCAACAAAACUGUUGUGGAUGUCACUGCUAGAUUCUUUGACUCACCCUGUUGGAAAUCACUACUCAAAGUCAAAAGUGUUUAUAUGUUGGGCAGAAAAAUAGAAACUAAAACGGGGGACGUCACUAGGCUGUGGAAAGACUCAAUUAAUGGGUCUCCUGCUCUUCAGGAACAAUUCCCUCAGUUGUUCGAUAUUUGUAAUUUCCCUGACUGUACUGUGAAUAAGCUGAUGGGCGAUGAUGCCAGCUCUUUCUUUAGACGCGGGCUUACCCCUGAUCUGCUUAAGCAGUGGGAAGCGUUGCGGUCUAUUAUAAAAAACAUUCCUCUUGCUAAGAGUGGUGAUGGUGACAAAGUUUUCUGGGGGCUUAAACAAAACGGCAAGUUUUCUACUAAAUCUGUGUAUAAGAUGCUGGAAAAACCUCUUGCUGGGUGUAGCUAUAAGUGAAUUUGGAAAGCUAAAAUUCCUCUCAAAAUCAAAAAAAAAAUUGUGGCAGUUAUCUCAGGGCGCAGUACUAACAAGACAAAUGAUGAGGGAAAGAAAUUGGCCAGGGAACCCUCGUUGCUCUUUUUGCAGGGAGGUUGAAACCUCUAAACACCUCUUUUUCACUUGCCCUGUUGUCAGGGUUGUUUGGAGGUCUAUUGGGGUGGUGCUGGGCACUGAUAUGUGUCCCAAUAACUAUUGGCAAUAUUUUGUCUGGUGUAGCAAAUUUCUUCCUGGCAAAGAAACCUUCUAUACCGUGGGCCUAGCUGCUACUUGUUGGGCCAUAUGGUUGGCGCGUAACCGAGCUACUUUUGAGAAAAAACAGAUUAAGACUCCUUUUGAGAUUGUUUUCUCCCUUUGCUCGUUUCUUUUAUAUUGGACAGGUUUACAGAAAGGAGAAGCGGCUGGAGAACUUCGCGCAGGUGCAGAGAUGAUCAGGAACGGCAUGCUGCAGCUGAUGAGACUGUGUGACCCUGCCAAGCAAACGAUUCAGACAUGAAGACCAAGUUGCGGCUUCGGCGGGGCGGAAUUCUGGAGCUGAAGGCGACCUUCUCCAUUCUCUUGCGCCAUCUGAUACUUUUGCAUAGUCUUUGCUAGUUCGGGCGAUCUGAUGUGUGGUUUGCGGCUGUUCUGGUCGUUCUUUUGUGUGGCCGUAAUAGACAUGAUAUUGGUGUUACCAGGUUUUCGCCCCAUGGCAUCCGUUUCGAUGUCGGGCAGAUGUGGUGGGUUUCCUGGUAAUGCUUGAACUCGCUCUACCCUCUUUCCCUCCUCCUGUCAUCUUGAACUGGUUGUAUUUCCGUUCUUAGUAAUGGAAAGGGGUAAAGCCCAGUUCAAAAAAAAUCUAAUAUAAGCUAGACUUAAAAAAAUGAUGAGACACAUUAUUAAAAAAAUGGUGUUUGACUUAUUUUAGCAUUCUUUUGACUGCAUGAGCUUGAGUGGGGAGUUGUGUUCAAAUUGAAAGUAAAAUUGUUGCGAAAUGAGACAAUGCCACUCUCUGGAGAAUUCUUUCCGAGUAUUUUUUCUAUGAAUUUUGGAAAUGUAUUCUCUAGUAAAUGUGCCAAGGGCUGCUAUAUCAUAGGUUCUCCCUUUUUACAUUCAAUUGUGAUCUAAACGCUCUUAUAUUUCUUUACAGAGGGAGAGGGAGUACUUGACAACCUGCAUGAUCGGAUAACCUAUUUUAUACUUUUUAUAAGUCUGACUUUUGUCCAUCUUCUUUUUCGUUUCUCUAAAAUUUGGAUGUUAUUUUCUGUGGGCCAUUCAAAGACAUCACAUCACUUCAAAAAUCCCUCUGUUUGAAGUUCUGUAAGAAUUCAUAUCACUUGAUAUCCUAUUUGUUUCUGUUAUUUUGGACUAAGUUUCGCAAGAACUUUACUUCAAUUGUUCAGUUAAUUUCCCACGGUAACAGAAAAAAAGAUCAAGGUCCUUCUCCAAUCACUCCCAGGCCUUCCCACAGACAAAAACAGACGAAAGAAUGAAAGAUGCAUAUCCAUCGCCUCAGGUGUACGGGGUAAUACCUUGAUUAUUACACACACAAAAAACAUGUAAUACCUUGACGAGAUGAAUAGAAAUGAUUCUCAGAAAAUAAAAAAAAUAUGCAAAUUCGUUCCAAGCCUUUCAGAACUCUCUCUUUUUUUAAUGAAAGAACUUUAAAGUUCAUAACGCAUCUUCAUGAGGUUUGCAGGUUCAGUUCACACAGAUUCUCGGUGUCGUCCAGCGAUGUACAAUGAUCAAACAUAUCAGAAUUCAGAACAUGAAAAUUCCCACCAGAAACACAAGCUCUGUACUUUCAACAUUUUUGUGAUCAAAGAGAAAUAUAGGUGCUAUUUCAUGGGUAUAAAAUCUAUGCCGGGGCUCAAGCGAUCUCUCAAGAACAAUGCCUACAGGAUGGUGAUACAAAUGUACGCUGCACAGCUGAACUGAACGCAUGUCAAGGUGUGGCCUGUGACAACGCAGAUCCAAUCUGACACAUGAGAGGGUACACUGGACUGAACUCCUUGUCUCCACGGGACCUGACCUUCAUCUCAUAGUCGUCCAGGGUUGCCUUCACGCCCUUCCAGAUCUGAUCCUCGCCUUGUGAAUCAAGCCACAGAGAGUACUGCAGCGGCGUCAGCUUGUUCCGCUGUAAGGGCGAGUGUAGCUCAUCCGGCCCUCGCGAAUAUAGGUGGUGGAGGAUCACGCUGGGUGGCAAGUCCUGAAGGAGUGGAGACUUGUCAAGCUGAGAUGUCUCCAGGAAUAGGACGGGGCGGAACGCACGCAAUGCCCGGUAUGGAGAGCCCAGCUGCUCCACUGGAAACAGAUUCUGACCGACGGCUAGCUCCAGCUCGGCCAUGUCCCUAGCCAUUCUCAACUUCCCUGCUUCAGAGAGUGGCCUGACAAGAGAAGCGUGUCUUAUGAAGAAUAUAAGGAUCCUUGAGGCCAUCCUUCUAACCAUUAUGGUACAUAUGGUCUCUGAGCGGGAGGCUGAUGAUGGCAGAAGCUUUGACAAGAACUCGCUGCGGAAGUGGACGGCACACUUCUGAAGCUCCUCCAUGUAGGCUGAUGCAUUAUUGUCCAUCGCUCCAUCCAUUCCAUCAGCUCCAAAGUCCUGCUCGUGCAUUUGCAGAAUGCAUGAUUCCAGACGAUCGAGCAUUGCUUGGAAUAGGGAGGUCACCGAAUCACAAGCAACCCCAUAUAUGACCCCGAGAGAUGGGGAAAGGACUUCAGAAGCAACAUUUGGGAGUGUUGACAGGAUGCUUGAAAUACGUGUGUGAACCUCGUGGAGAUGUAGACACAGAGCAAAGUUUUUUAAUUGAGCUGGAGUCACUGUGCCAGUAACUUGACGGGCUUCAGGCCCAGUAGAGAUCUACAUUUGAAGCAAAAUAUAUGUCAGCAAAUGCGCACAAUAAUGGAAGUGAUGCCAAUAACUGCACAAGUGUAUGCACAUAUACAAGGCAGCACAUACGAGGAAAGAAGAGAGGCAUUAUCAAAUGCAUAUGAAGGAUAGACAUGCAGUAAGACUAUAAUAAGUAAGACAAUGAAAAAGAAGACUGUCAUCUAGCAGCACCAACAGGUAUAGCCAUUGCAGUUAUAGGCUCAGAUGAUGCGUGCCCCUUUUACUUCCCUAGAAAGGCAAUCCAGCCUUUCUGUAGGAAAAGAUUGAGGGACAGCUGACACUACUGAAUGGGAAUGCACAUGAAAACAGGGAUAAAUUAAGCAGUGUGCUACAGGACAGCGUUUUCUCAUGAUUUCUCCUGUUUGAUGUACUCUAUUUAUUUUCUUCCGUUACUUGCAGCAUUCUAUACGUAUGUAACAGAACAAAAAGUUUAGUCAAUGAAACCAACAAGAAAGCACUACUUUUAUGGAUGCAACCACAGCUACCACAACCCGGGGGAAAGCUGGCCCAAACAAUCACAGACCUGACUAAAACCUGCAUAUUUAUUGGUCUCAAUGGGUAAGUUUGAUUUUCUGACAAGUGUGAGCAGGAGUUUUGAAGUCCAGAAGAUGAGAAGAAUCAAACUAUGAGCGGCAUCUAAUAAUAAAGGUUAGGACGGGAGGUGACUGAUUAGGUUCCCACUCAACUCAGCAGUGAAAAACCAACCCGCUCAAGACAAUGAGCUAGCAGAUACAACUAUAAUCGCCUAAGGAGACAACACUGAUUUUCUGCUUCUCGGGCAUGCGGACACCAUGCGUAUGGCUAGAAGCCAAGGGAAAAUGCUUCUCCCUAGUUGGAAGGGAUUAAGAUCAAAGCAUCUUUAAAGCUGAAGCACUACUGCUCAAGACAAUCGACACAUGUCCCAAGCCAAGGUUGGGAGAAAUUCAACAAUGUGGAAGAGCUAAAACGAUAGCAAAAACAAGUAUAGAGAAGUUCCAAACACAUUACUGGGAACUUAUACUCAAUGCAGCCUGACAUGAGGAGCAUUUGUUAAAAUUUGAUGAAUAAAUUGAGAAAGCAAAAACUACCUACAGACUUACAAAAAUAAUUAGUAGAAAAUAGUGUGUACCUGAUAUUCAGCUCGUUGUGCUAAAAGAAGCAAGAUCUUUCCAAUUUCACGUAGAACAAGAAGCAGCAAAUGCCCAUGAGUUCGCACAACUUCAAUUUCCUCUUGGAUGCGAGAUAUUAGCCUUGAUAUUUGAUCCUUCGAUGGUAUACUUCCACGGUUUGACAUAGGAAAUAUGCUAUUGAUGUAAUCAGAAAGGCGACUCUGACUAAGAGCCAAAAAGGCGGUCUGGAAUAUCUCAAUGGCUGCAACCAUGUGAUCUUUUCCUUCGGGAGUAAGCGCUGGAAGGGUACCCUUUACAUCAGUAUCUCUUGAAAUCCUCUCAAGAAGGUUCUCAAUCAUUGAGAACAGUCUCGGAUACCCAAGAGUAAAUAUUUCCUUGACAAAGCUUGACGCAGUAAAGACAGAUUUCAGCUGACUUGCAAAGGCCUUAACAAUCGCAUCCCAUACUCUCUCUGUCAAAAGAGGCUCACCCUCCUGCAAAAGAAUUUCUGUCAGUAUAAGUUCAAGCACAUAGAACAAAUAAUUAUUUAAGAAAGAACAAGGAAGGGAUCAAGACACAGGAUGUGCCUGUUAAGUGUUAGCGCAAUACUUUGGAAACAAGCGAACAUACCAAAUAUAUUAAACUAUCGUUGCAAGUGUAAACAAAUCUGAGGCAAUGUAGGAACUAGGAACAGUGACAUAGAAAAAUUUAGAAUCUGAUUGCAGAUAAAACAUGGAACACCCCACUUCAACUCUGAAGAACAGAAGCUGUGAUUAUAGAAGCUAGAAGGCGCUAUGCAUUUACCAAUGUAUCAGUCUAGUCUGCAUUUGAAGGCUGGGUACCAUGAAUAGAUAUUCAGGUGGGGGAGCUCCCCCUCUGGUGAUUCUAAAAAAAAAGGAUACUCCCUCCGUUUUUAUUUACUCUGCAUAUUAGAGUUGACUGAAGUCAAACUUCAUAAAGUUUGACCAAGUUUAUAGAAAAAAGUACAAACAUUUACUAUAACAAAUCUAUAUGAUGUGAAAGUACAUUCAAUAAUAAAUCUAAUGGUAUUUAUUUGUUAUUGUAUAUGUUAAUAUUUUUGUUUAUAAAUUUUGUCAAAGUUUACAAAACUUGACUUUGACUAAAGCUAAUACGUGGACUAAAUAAAAACAGAGGGAGUAGUACUUAAUUUAACCAUCUAACUGAUAUCUUAUACCUGAUCCUAGGCAUGCACUAGCUUAGCCCUAGCGAAAACUAUUAGAUGAUAACAGAAUCAUCAAUUUCAAUCAACAGAAGGGCUGGCUGCUCUCGACGACGGGGUGGUAAUGAGAUGCUGGGAGAUGGGAGUUAUUGGUGGAUUGAGUGGGGGGAGGAUUGCCCUCCCAGUUCGAAUCUUUUUCCAGGAAGUUUCAACCAUCGUUAACUAUGACAACAAUCGCGACCGGCUAUUAAGAUCCUCACGACUAUUGUAGUGCGGUACGCUCCACCCUCUAGCAACCUCUACUCUAAUCAAAAGACUAGAGGCCCCUACGGGAGGAAAAAUAGGACUAUUUUGUGUAAUCAACUAAUCAAUAACAUUGCUAUUUGAUAUACCAUAUAAUCCCCACCAGCAAAACUAAAGUCUAGUCAACAUGUUAGUCAAAAAAAAAAGUCUAGUCAACAUAAGAACUGAAAAACAGUGAAACCUAAACAUAUACUGGUAUAUUCAUUUUCUGUGUGCAUAUGUCAUUUCGUAUCUCUUUGACUGCCUAUAUAUCCCAUAAUUCUCAAGUGACAGUCAUACUACCAAAAAAAUCAUGAUAUAGAGCAUGUUCAAUGCAUCUAGGUUCUAAUUGUCAUUUCCAUCAAUUUGAAAUCCUCAUCAUUAAUUCAAAGAUCGUGGCUCACCUGCCAAACCUCCUCAAGGAACAGCAUUUGUGUGAACGGCACACGCUUCUUGGUGAGCACAGUUUGCAGCUGCCAUGCAGCGGUGACUGCCCGAUGCAGCUCCUCCAUGCACUGCCUCAUCCUUUCCCAUAGUGCAUCCGCUGCCCUCUUACUGCCACCAAGCUGUGGCGUGCCGCUUCUCUGCACGCCUCCAGGGCCGCCUCCACCACCAGCCAUCGAUAUCGCCUUCAUGUCCAGUGCCACGGUCACGCUCUUCGCCCCUGUUGCUUUGCACUUCCCCACGAGCCCCUCAACCGCCGGCUUCAGUUCUCCAAGAUUGUAGUACACCUGCAGACCGCACCAGAUGUCGUUCUGGUUCGACUCGGUGAUGCCACGGUCGAUCACAGCACUGGCCUCCGAUCGGAGCUUGGAGGCGGCAGCAUCAACCUUGCGCAUUUCCUCAUCAACGGCAUUGAUGCCGGAGAGGUUCUUCUCCUCGUAUAGGAGGCGGAUCUCGCGAUGGAGCUCAGCCUGGCGGGCGAGGUCGGGGGCAGGGGAGGAGGCGAGGAGGCGUGAGGAGAGGCGGACGAGACGGUGGGAGUGGAGGAGGAGGUCGGCGGUGGCGAGGAGGCUGGAGAGGGAGGAGGAGGAGAGCGCGAGGUGGGCGCGCGGCGCCGAGAGGUGAGAUGAGAGUAGGGAGAGGUGGGAGAAGAGGAGGCGGAGGUUGGAGGGGAGACUGGAGAGGGAGGCGGAGGCGGAGCGGAGGGAGAGGAGGUGCGAGAGGAGGAGCGGAUGUCGGCGCAGCACCUCGGCGCGGAGGUGGCGACGGAGGAGGCGGAUGGCGUCCUGCAGCUGCUCGGCGCGGGAGGCGGCAAGGCCGGAGGAGAGCGCGGCGGAGGAGAAGUCGGAGGGGGAGAAGGACGGGGAGAGGAAGGCGGAGAGGACGGGAUCGGAGGCGAAGGCGUCGAGCGGGGAGGCGGGGUCGGGGGAGGAGGAGGUGGGGGAAGGAGGCGAGGCGAAGGAGCUUCCGGUGAUGAGGUCCUUGGACGUCGGCGAGAGCAGGAGGCGCGGCGUGGCUGGGGCGGCCAUGGCGGUGGCCGUCGCCGGGGCGGGUGGUGGAUCUGGGGGUAGGAGAGAUCCGGAAGACUCACUACUCACUAGGCGUCAUUUGGUCGCUAGAAGGUUGAGAAAAUUGGCUAAUUUCACGAAAAAAAAUACCCUUUUCCACUAAAUUUCGAUUUUUAACAUGAAUGUCAACGCUUUAUUUUUAUUCACUGUCACGCUGUAUUUACAGAGGGAACAUUUUUCACAUUACGAAAGCCGAUAUCUUUUUUCAGGAUGAAAGUAGAUCUUAUUCAACUACUCCCUCCGUUUCAUAAGGGCAUGUACAAUAGGGACAACAUAAUGUAGCACUAGAACGGCAACGCGCCUUGGCGCGAGGGUGCCGGUCCAAUCAAUAUGGCCAAGUAGCGGAGAUCAAACCGCAUGAUGCAUUAGUAGGAAAGCAAGUUUAGCACAUGUAACAGGACAACUUAAUCAAAGAGGUGCUACUUGCCGAAACCCAACCCCCUUGUGUGUGUGUGUGUAUCUAUUAAGGAUGAAAAUGCAAAGACUAUAUCAAGAUGGAAAUGUAUCAACGAAUUAAUAAAAAAAAGCUCAAUGAUCAAACCUCUCAUAUAGCUGUUUUGAGCCACAAAAUCCAAAACAAUAUAGUAGUGCAAUGUUCGACGCUGAAAGUAAUUCAUCAGAUAUUUGACCUCAUGAAUUGUUCAAAACAAUAAAUAAGUGCAGCUUGCCGCACCCCCACCAGGUGCAGCCAUACCCAACCCGCUAACAAAGCAAAAUACAACAUAGCAUGAUACCUAUGAGGUGCCAGAGGAAUAUUUAGAUAGUUAUGAUGGCUGUCAAUUUUGAUGGGCCGCUGACCAAAGGGUUAUAGGCAUUUCAUAUCAAAUAUGUAGCAACAGCAAGCACCAAUCCAGGUUAUGUAGACACAAAGGAUAGAUACUUGAUGUAUUACAGGAAAUGCGGCAUGAUAGAAUAGGAUUAGGAGUACAUAGGAUCAUAAUAAUUAGACCAGGUUGUGCAUAUAGAGGAAGCAUUCAGUAGUGCAUCAGGGGAGAAAAUAACACAAAAAUAUCGAAGCAAACCAUUCAUACAGAAGACCAGCGACAAUUACAUAAGCUACCAUGAUCAUCCUGCAUUGCAUACAUAAGUUUGCAUCCAUCCCCUUCAUCUUCUAAACGAACAGGGUGCAGGCAGUAGAACAACAAAAGUCUAUCAUAGACACCAACGUAAGUACUGUGUUCCCGUGGACAACAUAACAACAUCAGCCAACCAGAAGUGCCAAAUACAGAAAUAAAUGUAUGCCAACCAACAUGACGUGACAUAAUUAGAGCCAGCAGAGAAACCAGACACUGUUGUAGACCAUCCGAAGCUACGCCUCCAUAGCCAAAGAUCACUCCUAUGAGCAUCGAUAUUGGCCAGGGGCAGGGCCAUCACCACACAACGCUGCAAACCUGAAGAUCAUGGACAAACAAAUAUGAAUCAGGAACAAAGCAUCUCGAUCAGAUGCAAAUUAAAAGACCCUCGUAUCCAUCUGAAUCAGUUUUUAGAUGACAAACAAUAAACCAUGGCAAUAAAAAAUAGUACUCCCUCCGUUCCAAAAUAGAUGACCCAACUUUGUACUAACUUCAAUACAAAGUUGGGUCAUCUAUUUUGGAACAGAGGGAGUAGUCAACAACCAUAGGCCAGGAAAUAGCAUCAGUCAUUCCUUUAUCUUACCAUGGAAGCAUCAUAUAUCAUCGAUCUAUAUUGUAAGAACUAUGUAUAAGAAUGAGAACUGGAGUUAUACCCUUUUGCUUUAGUGAAGCAGGGAGGCUGACAUGGAGGCCGAGGAAGCCAUAGAGGCAGUUAUAGAUGACGUCGUGUAUGUCGAUCGUCCACUCAACCUCCGUCUCCACCAACACCUCUUGCAAUGACUCUUUCCUCAUCCAUGCACACAAUCGAAUCCAUGGAGGAGAGAAGACCAAGGUGAGAUGGGCUCGGGACCAUCCUAAAGAAAAUGGAGGUUGGAGGGUUUGAUACCUCGGAGGCCAAAUGUGCCUCAAUGGCAGCUCCACCCUCAUCAGCAUGGUCACGAAAACAAAGAUAAUUGCCCGCACAUCUUAUUGCCACCUUUAUUGUGCCUCAUACCUAGCUGAAGUUCCUGAUAAUUGUUUGCCAGAAACCAUCUU